rnacentral:rRNA from 1 species
GAUGAACGCUGGCGGCGUGCCUAAUACAUGCAAGUCGAGCGAACGGACGAGAAGCUUGCUUCUCUGAUGUUAGCGGCGGACGGGUGAGUAACACGUGGAUAACCUACCUAUAAGACUGGGAUAACUUCGGGAAACCGGAGCUAAUACCGGAUAAUAUUUUGAACCGCAUGGUUCAAAAGUGAAAGACGGUCUUGCUGUCACUUAUAGAUGGAUCCGCGCUGCAUUAGCUAGUUGGUAAGGUAACGGCUUACCAAGGCAACGAUGCAUAGCCGACCUGAGAGGGUGAUCGGCUACACUGGAACUGAGGCACGGUCCAGACUCCUACGGGAGGCAGCAGUAGGGAAUCUUCCGCAAUGGGCGAAAGCCUGACGGAGCAACGCCGCGUGAGUGAUGAAGGUCUUCGGAUCGUAAAACUCUGUUAUUAGGGAAGAACAUAUGUGUAAGUAACUGUGCACAUCUUGACGGUACCUAAUCAGAAAGCCACGGCUAACUACGUG